UUCAAGAAAACUGUACACAUGACGUACUCAAAAUAUCCGGGGUACAACUUAAACAUGUCCCGUAUGCAAGUUUGUGUGCAUGUUUUUGUACUCUAUUCUGUGUUCUUGUCGCUAUGUCGGGUAGCAUGAGUUGGUGCGACUCCAGUAUCCCCAACUUGGUUUGCACAUGGUCUUGUAGCUACUAUGACUUCUCGUACUACACAGCAACUUCUGUAAACUGUUCCGAUUCAUUGUAGGACAGAUGGACUGACAAACGGACAGACAGACUGACGAAUGGACAGGCAAUCAGACAGAAGGACAGACGGACAGACAGGCAGACAGAUGGAUGAAUAGAGGCAACAGUUGGUGUAUGUCAGUUGUUAUGAUGUGUUUUGUGUUAUUAGAUGUUAGUGGUGCUGCUCAUAUGAUUGGGGACAUUGUGACGGGUGUGAAGCCUGCAUUGGCUGAAGGGAGGCCAAUGGAACCGAUGGCUGACGACAGAGAUGGUGCAGGAAGAUAUCAGUUUUUGUCUGAGGUGCUUCUUUGGAGGGCACAAUCGACUCCAGAUCACGUACUCUUUAUGGUGUUGAGUUUGUUGUUGCUUUCUAUGGCUGCCUUCUUGUCGGUCUCGUUCCCGUUCCCGUGCGACCUCUAUCUCCAUUGAACAUCGCAAUGACAUUACCAACAGUCAAAAUGAUCGUUGAAGUCAGCAAGUCAGUUGCCAUUCUAACAAUUCAACGUAUCACCAAACUGUUAAGGACAGAAGAGGCUACCAGCACACUCGAUGUGAAGUCUCUCCCAUCUAUUCUUGAGACGGACGAUCCACAGAAGAGGAAGCUUGACAAGUUUUAUCGUGCACCAACACCAGAGAUGAUUGCAUACUUGGAUUUUAGUGUUUCAACCACCGGUGUGCUCUCAGGAGUCAAAAUGUCUCAUCCAGCUUGUGACCUAUCACGGCGACUCAGACGAGGAGGACGCGAACUCGAAGACAAAAAUCAGUGACGACAGCAAACCGGAAAAUUCUGAAGUUGCAUCGGCCAACACGAGUCCGAUUCUCUCGUCCGGUUGUCUCAUGCAGUUCCAACGCAGUUCGAGCAUGUCAACGUCAUUGCUGAGGAAUGUGCUCGUAAGGACCCGGAUACAGGUGGCUCCCGUUGUGUCAUUGGUCUCUUACGUGCAGGAGGGCGAUGACUCAGACAGUGAGAGUGAAGGUGAAAUGGCGGGAAAAGUGUCCAACGACCAUCCCACAAGUCACAUUCUCUAUCCACUUCAAGAUGACAUCAAAGGUACAUCCCCGUUCAGUAGCGACUCUCCCCUCCCCCAGGGGCACCAACCACCAACCACCUGACAAAAUUCCACCGUCCACCUCGCGUCAACCUACCACCGGCUCCUUCCAGACAAUGCAAACCCGAGUUACAAUCCAAGAUAACUAAUUUAUUGAAAAAGCAAAGACAGAGAAACAUACAACUGAACGAGAGCGUACAGAAACGGAAAGACUUCCACAAUCCAAGUUUUUAUGAAAAACUCGUCAGUCAGGCUGUCGAGGUCGUUUGUCUGUCUGUAAGUUUGUUUGUCCGUCUGUCUGAACAUAUGCCUGAUGAUCACUACGUGGAUGGUGUGCAAACAUCUCUAUAUUCUAUACAAUAUAGAUUGGCUUUUGUGGUCUGUUGAACAGCCUUAGUUUGGACUGUAUAGAAAAAUUGUAUCCAAGUUAAUUAAGAUCCUCUUACAUUAGAU